UUGUGAAAUAUUUCAGUUUUUUCGACAAUGGAAAAUUACUUCUUUUUUUUUUUUUUACUCUACAGUUGUACAGUAUAAAAUCAUAAAACAUGGAAACUCAACACGGAUAUAAUAAAACCCAACAAAAAUUACCUAAGAGAAUCUUAAGAGACAGAAUAUGAAAACAAUGCUAGCUGAGAAGAACUGCUAUAACUAUUCGACUUGUAUAUAUCCAGGGCUCUCAUAGGAAGUGCUGCUGAUUUUGUUUUGUCUUGUGCAGCUUCAGAAACAUGAUCGGGAAAAUGAGGAUGUUCCUUCCAAAUGGAGAUCAGAAGAGGAGAUGGCGAAAGAAGCUACAGAAUUACACAACCUCUUCAACUAGCUUCUUUAGUUGGAUAUGGAGGACAUCAACAAGUUGCAGAUGGAAGACAUCGAGAAGUUCUUAUCUACCUUGAGCGUCUAUUCAAAUAAAAAAAAUAGUUUA